rnacentral:lncRNA from 1 species
CUGACACAUCAGGAUAUAUAUUUUCAUACAGUCUCAGGUGCUGUGUUGGUUUUAUAGGCCUUUCAUCCUGGUGCUGACGGAUGGGGUGUGAUUGUGACCCAACUUAGAAGAAAGGGACUUCCCUUGCCCAGGGGCCUCCUGGCGUUUUUGUUUUGUGUUCUCCCUCUCCACCCCCACUUUCUCUUCUUCCUUGGGAAGGGAACUGUUCUUUGGACCUAGGAUUCUGCCGUGAGUGACUAAUGGCCUGAGUAGGAGGGACCGGGACUCAUUUUUCUUUUCUGGACUCUAAUAGGCCCAAUUAAUUCAGCUACAACAUGGGCCCUUACAAGCCUGGGACAAGCCUGGGUGGAAUUCUAUAUUGAGGGUAAGAAAAGGGAUGGAAGUAGAUGUUUUCCAGAAGGUUCUGUGGACUCUGGGGGUGACCUGUGGACAGCUGCUGCUGCCCACUACCUGGCAGUUUGGCUAUGUGAUACAUGUCAGCCUUACAAGGAGAUCCCCCUUACCCUGGAAUCUACUUUGGGGGAGCAGAACUUGAGCCUCAGGCAAAUCAGAGACGAGGGGGAAACUUUGCUUUUUCCUCCAGUGGCAGGGAGCUCUGGGCUGGGGAAAUGUCUUUUUGAACACAAAGUUCCAGUUGCAUUCAUCCACAGGAAAAUGUAAAGAGCUUAAUUUAAUGCCCUCUGGGAGUCAUUUCGAUUUAAAAGUGGUAUUAUAGCUUGUGGCUAGAAGAAUGGGCUUAACGGUUAGUCACCUUCUGUUUGGGCAUGUCAUUUAAUCUCUUUGAGGCUGUUUCUUCAUCUUAAAAUAUGAGUGAGAAGGUAGUACCCACCUUACAAUGUGGACAAGAUUAAUUUAGGGAAAACACGUAGCACAGGGCUUCACCCAUGGUAAGUAUUUCAUAAACGGUAACUAUUUUUAACAAUGACAAUUCACAGAGUUAAUCCUAAUAAAAAAUGAUUACAGAAGAGGACGCCUCCACCCACAGGAAGGAGCCAGCACGGUGGGGAGCUGUUUCACCAGGGGAGUGUUCUCAGCAGCUGCCACACGUGGAGUUGUGGAGGCUUCAUUAAUUAUCCUGGAAUGUGGUCACCCAGUUUUCUUCAACAUGGGCCAUUCUCCUUUUAGCAGGAUCUUGGCAGUGGACUGCCACGGGAGCUCUGGGGAAAAAGGACCAGUUGGACUCCAGUACCUCCUGAGAGACCACCACCCUCCAUGCCUCCAGCUCAUGCCCAGCUCUGAGUCAGACGGACUCUUCCUGUUGUACUGCGAGGUUCUGCAAACCUUGAAGGGCAAACACAGUGAGGGUCUCUGACUUGCUGUGUGGACAGCCCACUCUCUGACAGCCCAGAUCAUCUGAAGCUAUCCCUGGGCUGGGAGCUGGAAGCCAUUCUUGUGAACCACUCCUUAUACCUUGAGCGAAGCCUCUUUGGGUCCCAGAAGUCUGAAGCUCCAGCUGCCUGGCAAGACUGAGUCUAGAUGAUUUCUUGGGUACCAGUAGUUUGGCAUUUAAAAAUACUGGAUUAACUGCAGUGUAAACUUAGAUUGCAUUUCAGAUUGUAAACAAUAACCCCCGUGCUUCAUGUGAUGUUAAAUCAGAAAUGAGCUAUUAGCCAAGCUAGUCCUCUUAUGAAUGAGCCCCUAACCCUGAUCCAGGGAUCGUUGAAUGAAAAUCAUCAAAAUGAUUUAUCUUCACUUUACCUAUUGUCUCACAAGAAUCUCAUCACUCAGGGAAAAGGAGGGUGUUCUUCAGGGAACGGAGGGCAUGAGGAAGGGGGAUUUCCUUAUAUCUCAACUUUCAGAGGGAGCUGAGUUGUAAACAGAUGGAACAAGGUGUGUACGAGAAGCCUCUUAGAUUUAGUCUUUCAUAUCAAGGCUCUUGCUGAAAAUCCUGGCACAGCUGUGAAAUGAGGGGAGCUCUGACACACAGAGACACGCUCCUUGCCUCACCAACCUUCCCAUACACAGUCAUGCGCACAGAGAGCAGGUACCAAUACUGAAAAUGCCCUUCCGGAGUUUCCUCAGCUUAAACCCUUGACAGCAUUAAGUGAGGAAGGAGUUUCCUUGACCUGGGGAAGAAGAACCAACUCAUAAACAUGGAACUGUGCCCACUGCCUUUUCCUUUGCUCUGUGGAUUGGCUGUGGUUCUGCCCUGGCACUCGGAUGUCAAGUUGCUCUGGCUGUUUGGGAGGAAGCCCAGCCUGGGUCAGGUGGUCAUAAGCCAGAGGCCCUGUCCUGUCCCCAGGGUUGGCCUCCCUCUGGGGUCCAGCAUGGCCCCAGUGCUGAGGCUCCCACUGCUGGGGAAUGUGCCCUCUCCUCUCUUUGUUUCCAUACCAAGGGGAUCUGCAGGGUAGAGGGCAAAUUAUUCUUAGCAGAUUGGGGCUAUGGGUAAACCAGAAGGGAUGAGGGAGAGAGGAGAGAGGAGAGGAAAGGGAAGGAGAGGGGAGGGCAGGGGAUAGGUAGAGGAGAGAGACAGCAAGAAAAAAUAGAAAAAAAAAAAAAGGAAAUAAAGGUUGCAUAUACAAAGGGAGAUUAACAAGGAGUAGAAGAAGGGAGGCAGAAGAGGGAGAAACAGAGAAGAGGAACAAAGAAGACAUUUCCAAAAAAGACGUGAGCACACCAGGCAGGAGGGAGAAAAGGAACAAGGAGAAAGGAAGGAAGUGAGACAAGCUGGGGAGAGAAGAGGCAAAGGCAGCCAGGAGCAGGCAUAGGGGAGAGAGGAGUGGGAAGCCCCAGGGGGUACAAGGAAAAAAAUGAGGGAAGCCAGUGGGAGGAAGGUGAGGAAGAGGAGAGGGAACAGGCACUGGGUGGGGAAGAGGCGAGCAGGAGAAAGCCUGUGCUGUGUGGAUUAUUGUGUGUUUGUCAUCUGGAAUGGUAUAAGCUGUAGGUACAGCAGCUCCCGCCCAUGAUUUAUGGUCCCUGUCAGGCAGGGACCGCGCUUUGUCUGCUGUAGCGUGGACGAUGAAUGCUCCGCUGUCAUCCCAGCCUGGCCGGCCUUUCUCUCUCUCUGCUCCCAACGCUGGCUCCCCAUUUCACGCCAGUGAACAUAAGCAAUCUUUUGUAAACCUGACAGUCACACUUGCUUCUUUGGAAACAUAAAGCAGAAAUGUAUGACUCGGCUUUCAUUACCCAAUUUCCUACGCUAUAUAAAAACACUCAGGAAAGACAUGUAAGUGGUCACGAAACCUGGGAAAUUGGAAGUGUCCUGGAGGAAAAAAAAAGGAAGAGUGGGGAGAAGGGGGCUGUAGGGUGGGAGGGAGCCGGUGAGGAGAGGAGACGAUGUGUCUAACUCCACCACAUCCUUCCCAGAAAACGCCGGCUGAUAAACGGGCCAUGCAGACACAUAAUUAUAUUACAUAUCUGAAUAAUAGACAUUUCCUGCCUGAAGUGUUGCUUUUUUUCCUCCUUCUCCUUUUAACCCAGAGUGCAGUAAUGAAACAGUCUUAAGAUCAAAGCUGCCUGAUAAUGUGGCUUUGUUUUUUCUACCUUUUUCUGCUUUACAUUUUUUUCUUCCCCACUAGCCAUUUGGCAGACUCCAGGAAGUGAAAAGUGUAACUUAUUUUUAAAGAGCAAUUAGGGUGUAGAUCUUGGAGAUUUCUCAGCCAGGAGGGUGAGAUCGGCAGUGGAGAAUCUGCAUCCGUUUUGA